GACGAACGCKGGCGGCGUGCCUAAUACAUGCAAGUCGAGCGGAGUYAYUUUGAAAGCUUGCUUUCAAARUAACUUAGCGGCGGACGGGUGAGUAACACGUAGGCAACCUGCCCUUCAGACUGGGAUAACUACCGGAAACGGUAGCUAAUACCGGAUAAUUUCUUUUUUCUCCUGAGAGAAGAAUGAAAGACGGAGCAAUCUGUCACUGAGGGAUGGGCCUGCGGCGCAUUAGCUAGUUGGUGGGGUAACGGCCCACCAAGGCGACGAUGCGUAGCCGACCUGAGAGGGUGAACGGCCACACUGGGACUGAGACACGGCCCAGACUCCUACGGGAGGCAGCAGUAGGGAAUCUUCCGCAAUGGGCGAAAGCCUGA
rnacentral:rRNA from 1 species